ACUGAUGAUAAUUCCAACGAGGCCACACCCGUUCCCAUUCCGAACACGGCAGUUAAGCUCGUUAGGGUCGAUGGUAGUAACACCCAAUUCGGUGUUGUCAGAGUAGAUCGUCGUCAGUC
rfam:Elusimicrobium minutum Pei191, complete genome.